rnacentral:lncRNA from 1 species
AUCAUGUGUAAAUUUAAUAUAACACAUUAUAUGCUGUAAUAAACAAUUUGUUUUACUGCUGUUAAGUUUGUUAUUUGGGUAUAAAACCAGAUGUUUACACCUAUAAAUCUUGUGCUGAUUAUUGGUGAUGUUUGUUAGAUUUGUAUUACGCCUACUCUAGAAUUAGAAGAUUAUUUGCAAUAAUUAAGACAAGUUUUAAUAUUCUUGGUAUGGAUAAUGAGUAAGCAAAUCUGGAAAAGCAAAUCACUUCUUUAGGAUAGUAAGGUAAUUUAAAAUUAAGGUAAAUUUUAUAGAUGUCUCUUAAGGAAAACAUUUCUGAGAAGAAUCUCCCCCAACUCUUUUUUAUAAAAAAAUUAAAAACGUGGAAAAGUUGAAAAAAUGGUACAAUUAAACUAGAUUCAACUAUUGCUGGCAUAGUUUUCCAUGUUUGCUUUAGCUCUCUAUUAUGUAUGUAUUAGGUUAAACCAUAUUACUGAUUUUGAUGGUUAAAGACAGAUACUGGCAAUCCUUCCCUCUCCCCACUCUAUACUGCUGCCUCCCUUUAAGGUAAAUUUCAUGUCUUUUGAUAUUUUCUUUUAAAAACUUAAGCAGGCAUUUCUCAAGAGCAAGAAGAUUCUCUUGUAUAACUACAAUAUCAUGAUCACAUCUAAGGAAAAUUAAUAGUAAUUCAUGAUAUCAAAUAUUUAUAUUUAAAUUUACCAGUUUGUUUCAAGAAUUCCUAAAUAACAGCUUCCUUUUCCCCCAACCAUGGUUUUGUCAGUGUUAUGCAUUGCAGUUGGUUAUAGCUUGUAGGGUUCUAUUCUACUCUUUUUAAUCUAGAAUAUCUCCUCACAUUUAAGAAAAAUCACAUUGGCUUUUUCUUUUUUUUUCCCCCCCAGUGUUGGAGAUUGAACCUAGGGAUGCUCCACCAUUGAGCUACAUCUCCAGCUUUUUUAUUUUGAGGCAAGGUCUUGCUAAAUUGUUCAGGCUGUCCUCAAACUUGCUAUCCUCCUGUCUCAAACUUCUGAGUAGCUGGAUGGGGUUACAUGUGUGGGCCACCAUGCCCAGUGGCAUUGGUUUUUCUAAAGUCAGGAUAGUUGUCUUAUAUAAGGGGGCAUACUUUCUGGAUGUGUUUCCUUACAUUGUGUUUAAUAUAGUCUAACUCCUCGAUUUUCUAUAAACAAUGUGAAACUUGAUUGGAUUCAGGUUAAACAUUCUUGGCAAGAUUUUACUAGAGAUGUUGUGUAUGUUUUUUGCUUCACAACAGGAAAUAUAUCAGGUUGCUCCACCAUUCCAUCAUUACUGAAUUUAAGACUGAAUUAAGUUGAUGAAUAUAGAUGUCUCCAUUAUAAAAGCUUUUUUUUUUUUUUUUUUGUAAAUGGUUGGUUGUGGGAGAUUCUUUGGUACAGUGUAAGUAUACUCUCUCUCAAAUUCCAAUUUUGGCUUUAAUUUACAUUGCUGAUCCUUGCCCCAGUCAGUUACUGCUUUGGGGAUACAAAAGUGGUAAUUUUUAAAGUAUCUUUCCUUCUUUUAUUUGAUGACAUUCAAAAAAAAAAAAAAAAGAGUUGUCCUUAUUUUUCUUCCUUUCUCUUUCAAUGUCCACAGUGUACUCAUGGGUUUUUAUUUGAUAUCUUAUAAUCACUUAAGUUUCUUCUUUUUGAUGCUUGACAUGUCCCAAACUUGGACAGUAGGAGGAUACAUUUUGUUAAAAGGAAACUUACAGAAUCAACUCAGUCCCAUCACUCAGAUGUUUAUUGUGACAUGUAUCCAAAUAAAAUUAAUUUCCAAAUGCUAGAUUUCAGAUGAAACAAAAAUCCCCUAACUAUCCACUUUUAAGUUCUGUCUUAGCAGAGUUCUUUUUUUCUGCAUUUCAUAUAUAUCUUAUUUCUAGCAAGGCUUUCAUCUUUGGAGCAUAGCAAAUUAUUUCCCUAUGGUUUAUAAAGGUCAUAUCUAGUAGCAAGAUAUCUUUUUUUUCCCCAGCAUCUUUUUUGCAAAACAGAUAAUUCUUCAAAAUGUUGUAGAGUUGCUAUUCUUUUAUUAUAUGUUUUUGUAUUUAAGAAGUUAUUCUGCUUUUCAGAAUUUCUUUGAUUACCUGACUAAAUCUAAACACAAGAGAGGGAUGAUCUCAUCAUUUCUAAUGCCGCAAUCCCAUCUUUUGGGUGCAUGACUAUAAAGUUCAUUGUGUAACUGACUGUGAAGUGCAGUCAGUUCUUGAAUCAUUUCCAAGUUGUUCUCAAUGAGCAUUAUUUUCAGAAGGGGACACUCUGAAAACCAGCUUUUGAGCAAUUGCAUUUUAGGUGACAAUGCCAAACUUAAGAGAAGCGUGAAAAAUAGGAUUUUCAAAGAACACUGGGUUUGUCCUAAUCCAUCGCUUGACUUCCCUGUAGCUAGCAGUACUACUGUACUUGGAAAAAUGGGGUUUUGUCCAUUAUUUUCAAUGACAAAAUAGCUGCUAUUGUUGUUAUAAACAAAAGAACUCUUUAAAAUAUUUUCCUUUAUUUUUAAAAAUUACUAAUGCUCAUUGUGAAAAGAAAAAAAAUACAUCUACACAAUAAACAAAUUUUAAAAUUCUUCCUCAAACUUCUCCAAAUUCUACUCUUCAAAAAAUUGGAUGUAUAUAUUUCCAUACUCUUAUAUGCACAAACAAAUAUAUAACCUUUACACUUUUUCUUUAAAACAAAGUCUCAUGCUAUAUAUAUUAUUCCAUUACUUUCACCCUUCAUUUCAUGGACCUGUACGGUAGAUAUUUUUCCCAAUUCUUUUUAAUGGGUUCCAAGUUUUCCUCACUGAGAAAAAAGGCACCAGAUUUUAUGGGCUAUUCAAGUUUGCCCUGCUUAAAAAACUUAUAAUACUUAAGCACAAAGUGUUACACAAAGUGUAACCUAAAGGUUACAUUUGCACACAUAUUACCUUUCUACUUUUCUCAUGUAUUUUGUUAUUUUGUGUUGUGAGUUCCCUCUCAGUGGGGUUUUAUGGAAGACAUUCUGUGAGGUUUGGUUAAAGAUGUGCCACACAGAGAAAUUUUGUGAUUUUUCUGCCAAGUGCCUCAGGGAUAUUUCCAGGCUGGACCACUUUUUAAGUUAAUUUAUCUACUUUGGGGUUCCCUGACUACAAGAAUAAAUUAAAAUCCUAAAUCCAUAUGAGGACAGGCUGUGGUUAUGUGUUCUCAGAGGAGAAUUUCCCAAGGCAAUCUUCAUUAUUUUUGUCCUGGGCCAGCAAGUGGGGAGAAAAAAAAAAAGAAAAAAAAAAAAAAAGAAAAGAAAACAAAACAAAACUAUACACACACACACACACACACACACACACACACCCCACACCUCUUUUUCUCUCUCCAUGUGUUGUGUGUGUGUUUGUUUGUGUUUGUGUAUUUAUAUUCAUGUAUUCUAGUCUAGUCUUUCAUUAAGGGGGAUAACCCUUCAGGGAUCUCAGGAAUAGGGGCAUAGGAAUAGUCCUAAAUCCCCUCCUGUGAAGAUCAAAUCCUAGUCCCCAAGUGACAGUCAAACUCAAAUUCCCCAGCUUAAAAGACCACAACUUCCCCUCUGGUUCUCAAGGGUAACCUGAGCUACACACUUAAGGAAAUGUUUGUUAAUAGUUUAUCCAACAUUUAAAAGUGCUUUAGAAUGACAAUAGGUUUUCUUUUCCACUACAUGGCUGAAAGCAAACCACAUAGCCACCCAUUGCUCUUGCCAAUUUGUGGGAUCCCUUGCUCCUCAUUUUUUUUAUAGCUUUAUUGAGGUAAAAUUGAAGUAAAACCAAAUGCACAUAUUUGAAGUAUGCAGUUUAAUCAGUUUUGACAUGUAUGUAACCAAUACAAUCAAUAUAAAAAGCAUUUCCAUUACUUUUAAUAUUUUCUUUGAGCCCCUUUGUAAUUCAUCUCUUCCCCAGAAAACUACUGAUCUGUUUUCUAUCAUUAUAGAUUACUUUGUAUUUUUUAGCAUUCUGUUAUAAAUGAAUGAAAUUUAACUGUGUGCUCUUAUGCCUGAAUUUUCAUUGAACAUAAUGAUGUUUAGAUCCAUCCAUGUUGUUUCAUGUAUCAAUAGUUCAUUCCUUUUUAUUGAUGGAUUAUAUUGCUUUCUUGCUUGUUGAUGAACACUUGGGUUAUUUUCAAUUUGGGGCAAUUACAAUCAAAGCUACAAUGAACAUUUAUGCACAGGUGAAUGAACAUUUACGAACACGGGAGUCUUUGUUUCUCUUGGGUAUAUAAUGAGGAAUUGAAUGCCUGGGUCUUACCAUGUUUAACUUUUUGAGAAUCUGAAAAUUAUUUUCCAAACUUACUGUGCUAUUUUACAGUCCUACCAGCUGUGCAUGAGCGUUUCAAUUGUUGUACAUCCUUCUCAGAACUUGGUAUGCUCAGUCUUUUUAAUUUUAGUCAAACUAAUGAAUGUGUAGUGAUAUUUCAUUAUGAUUUUAAUUUGCAUUUUCUUGAUAACUGUGUUGAGUAUGUUUUCAUGUGCUUAUUGGCCACCUGUAUAUCUUUGUUUAAGUGUCUGUUCAAAUAUUUUGUCCAUUCAAACAAUUGGGUUGUUCGACUUAUCAUUAUUAAGUUGUAAGAGUUCUUUAUAAAUUCUCUGUAAAAGUCCUUUGAUUUAUAGUGUGAAUAUUUUUUUCCAGUCUGUGACUUGCCUUUUAGUUUAUUAACGGUGAUUUAUGAAGAACAAAAGCCUUUAAUCUUUUUUAAAAACCUUUAAAAAAUUAUAGUGGUAGAUGAACGGAAUGCCUUUAUUUUAUUUAUUUUUAUGUGGUGCUAAGGAUCAAACCCAGUGCCUCACACAUGCUAGGCAAAGUGCUUUGCCAUUGAACUACAGCCCCAGCCCAGCUUUCAAUUUUUAUCAAAUCCAAUUUUCUGUUUUUUCUUUUAUGCUUCUUGAUUUUGGUGUCCCAUCUAAGAAAACUUUGCUUAAUCCAAUGUUGCAAAAAUUUUCUUCCUAUUUAUGAAGUGUUUAUGAUUUUCUGUUUAUAUAUAGAUCAGUGACCUAUUUUGAAUCAGUUUUUGUGUAUGAUGCGUGGUAAGAAUAUUCAGUUUUUCCAGAUAGCUUAUUGGCUAGCACUAUUUGUUAAAAUGACUUACCCUUAUAUAAUCUUUUCAGAAAAUCAAUUUUUUCCACCAAUAUUGAACUGUCUCAAUUUCUGUAGUUAUCUGUUGUCUCAAAAUCAAGCACUCCAAUUUUGCGCUUCAAUUUCUUCUUUUUCUGAAAUCCUUCGGUUAUUCUAGAAGUUUUACAUUAUGUAAAUUUUGGAAUUAGGUUGUUAGUUUCUGCUAGGGAAAAAAAAAAGGUCAGCUGAAAAUUUUCCUGGUAUCCUAUAUGGAUAUUUUACCUCUUAAAAAAAAACAAGUCUUUAAAUCUAUAAGUAUGCUGUAUCUUUCAACUUAUUAGGUCAAUUUAAAUUUUAUUUAGCAGUGUUUUAUAGUUUUUAAUGUUAAGGUCUUGAUCAACUUUCAUUAGAUUUAUUCCUAUGUG